UUUAACUUCCCGUCCUUUUCAACAAACCAAUCAUUUCCGUAAAGGAUUUUAUCUUUAUUUGACUUUCUUUCAC
rnacentral:tRNA from 1 species